CAAGUCAGACGGAAUGUAGUAAUACAUUCAGUGGCGAACGGGUGAGUAACGCGUGGAUAAUCUACCUACGAGAUGGGGAUAACUAUUAGAAAUAGUAGCUAAUACCGAAUAAAGUCAAUUAAGAUGUUAGUUGAUGAAAGGAAGCCUUUAAAGCUUCGCUUGUAGAUGAGUCUGCGUCUUAUUAGCUAGUUGGUGGGAUAAGAGCCUACCAAGGCUAUGAUAAGUAACCGGCCUGAGAGGGUGAUCGGUCACACUGGAACUGAGAUACGGUCCAGACUCCUACGGGAGGCAGCAGCUAAGAAUCUUCCGCAAUGGGCGAAAGCCUGACGGAGCGACACUGCGUGAACGAAGAAGGUCGAAAGAUUGUAAAGUUCUUUUAUAAGUGAGGAAUAAGCUUUGUAGGAAAUGACAAAGCGAUGACGUUAAUUUAUGAAUAAGCCCCGGCUAAUUACGUGCCAGCAGCCGCGGUAAUACGUAAGGGGCGAGCGUUGUUCGGGAUCAUUGGGCGUAAAGGGUGAGUAGGCGGAUAUGCAAGUCUAUGUGUAAAAUACCACAGCUCAACUGUGGAACUAUGCUGGAAACUGCAUGACUAGAGUCUGAUAGGGGAAGUUAGAAUUCCUGGUGUAAGGGUGGAAUCUGUUGAUAUCAGGAAGAAUACCAGAGGCGAAGGCGAACUUCUAGGUCAAGACUGACGCUGAGUCACGAAAGCGUAGGGAGCAAACAGGAUUAGAUACCCUGGUAGUCUACGCUGUAAACGAUGCACACUUGGUGUUAAUCGAAAGGUUAGUACCGAAGCUAACGUGUUAAGUGUGCCGCCUGGGGAGUAUGUUCGCAAGAAUGAAACUCAAAGGAAUUGACGGGGGCCCGCACAAGCGGUGGAGCAUGUGGUUUAAUUCGAUGAUACGCGAGGAACCUUACCAGGGCUUGACAUAUACAGGAUAUAGUUAGAGAUAACUAUUCCCCGUUUGGGGUCUGUAUACAGGUGCUGCAUGGUUGUCGUCAGCUCGUGCCGUGAGGUGUUGGGUUAAGUCCCGCAACGAGCGCAACCCUUGUUGUCUGUUACCAGCAUGUAAAGAUGGGGACUCAGACGAGACUGCCGGUGAUAAGCCGGAGGAAGGUGAGGAUGACGUCAAAUCAUCAUGGCCCUUAUGUCCUGGGCUACACACGUGCUACAAUGGCCUGUACAAAGCGAUGCGAAACAGUGAUGUGAAGCAAAACGCAGAAAGCAGGUCUCAGUCCAGAUUGAAGUCUGAAACUCGGCUUCAUGAAGUUGGAAUCGCUAGUAAUCGUAUAUCAGAAUGAUACGGUGAAUACGUUCUCGGGCCUUGUACACACCGCC
rnacentral:rRNA from 2 species